GAAAGAGAUCUUAACAAUCCAAUUGUUUGGGGAAUGGAACCAGAGAGUUUGUUGUUGUAAAGGUAAAGAAAUGAUAAAUUUGUCAAAUUUCCUAUUGAAGCAGGGAUUGAACCUGUGAAAUUGUUGUCAGACAAUGCAAGCCUAGAAAGAGAUUUUAACAACCCAAUUUCUUGAGGAAUGGAACCAGAGAGUUUGUUGUUGUAAAGGUAAACAAACCAUAAAUUUGUCAAAUUUCCUAUUGAAGCAGGGAUUGGACCUGUGAAAUUGUUGUUAGACAAGCUAAGCAUAGAAAGAGAUCUCAGCAAUCCAAUUUCUUGGGGAAUGGAACUAGAGAGUUUGUUGUUGUAAAGAUAAAGAAAAUAUAAGUUUGUCAAAUUUCCUAUUGAAGUUGGGAUUGGACCUGUGAAAUUGUUGUCAGACAAAUCAAGAUUAGAAAGAGAUUUUAACAACCCAAUUUCUUGAGGAAUAAAACCAUAGAGCUUGUUGUUGUCAAGAUAAAGAAAAGAUAAGUUUGUCAAAUUUCCUAUUGAAGCUGGAAUUAGACCUAUGAAAUUGUUGUCAAACAAUUCAAGAUCAGAAAGAGAUCUUAACAACCCAAUUUCUUGGGGGAAUGGAACCAGAGAGUUUAUUGUUGGAAAGGUAAAGAAUGGAUAAGUUUGUCAAAUUUCCUAUGGAGGCUGGGAUUAGAUUUGUGAAAUUAUUGUUAUACAAGCUAAGCAUAGAAAGAGAUCUUAGCAACCCAAUUUCUUGAGGAAUGGAACCAGAGAGUUUGUUGUUGUAAAGGUAAAGAAAUGAUAAAUUUGUCAAAUUUCCUAUUGAAGUUGGAAUUAGACCUAUGAAAUUGUUGUCAGACAAUGCAAGCCUAGAAAGAGAUUUUAACAAUCCAAUUUCUUGAGGAAUGGAACCAGAGAGUUUAUUGUUGGAAAGGUAAAGAAUGGAUAAGUUUGUCAAAUUUCCUAUGGAGGCUGGGAUUAGAUUUGUGAAAUUAUUGUUAUACAAGCUAAGCAUAGAAAGAGAUCUUAGUAACCCAAUUUCUUGGGGAAUGGAACCAGAGAGUUUGUUGUUGUAAAGGUAAAGAAAUGAUAAAUUUGUCAAAUUUCCUAUUGAAGUUGGAAUUAGACCUAUGAAAUUGUUGUCAGACAAUGCAAGCCUAGAAAGAGAUUUUAACAACCCAAUUUCUUGAGGAAUGGAACCAGAGAGUUUAUUGUUGGAAAGGUAAAGAAUGGAUAAGUUUGUCAAAUUUCCUAUGGAGGCUGGGAUUAGAUUUGUGAAAUUAUUGUUAUACAAGCUAAGCAUAGAAAGAGAUCUUAGUAACCCAAUUUCUUGGGGAAUGGAACCAGAGAGUUUGUUGUUGUAAAGGUAAAGAAAUGAUAAAUUUGUCAAAUUUCCUAUUGAAGUUGGAAUUAGACCUAUGAAAUUGUUGUCAGACAAUGCAAGCCUAGAAAGAGAUUUUAACAACCCAAUUUCUUGAGGAAUGGAACCAGAGAGUUUGUUGUUGUAAAGGUAAAGAAUGGAUAAGUUUGUCAAAUUUCCUAUGGAGGCUGGGAUUGGAUUUGUGAAAUUGUUGUUAGACAAGCUAAGCAUAGAAAGAGAUCUUAGCAACCCAAUUUCUUGAGGAAUAAAACCAGAGAGCUUGUUGUUGUAAAGAUAAAGAAAAUAUAAGUUUGUCAAAUUUCCUAUUGAAGUUGGGAUUGGACCUGUGAAAUUGUUGUUAGACAAGUCAAACUUAGAAAGAGAUUUUAGCAACCCAAUUUCUUGAGGAAUGAAACCAGAAAGUUUGUUGUUGUAAAGGUAAAGAACAGAUAACUUUGUUAAAUUUCCUAUUGAAGGAAUACUUCCAUAGAGUGAGUUAAUGCUAAGAUCAAUAUGAGUCAGGUUGGGAAAAAGGGAGAAGUUUAAAACUUCUAGCUUGCCUUUCAAACUUGAGGAGGAAAGGUUUAGAUGAGUGAUGCUCCCAAACGAACCACAAUGUAUCCCUGCCCAAGUGCAGGGCCUGGUUCCGACCCAAGAAGACAAGGUGGCUUGACUUUCCUUGUCAAGACUAGCCUUCCAUUGUAAAAGUGUCUCUACUUCCGUCACUCCUACAGGAGCUGUUGCAGAUAUUGAAGAAGCAGUAGAAGCAAUGAAGUGGAAAGAAGAAACUAAAACAAGGUUGAGGAAGAACAGGACUUUAAGUGGCAAGGGCAUCGUAACUCUUAUGGGUUUUUGUUGAUAUGGGCUGUGUAUUGGCUGAUGAACAAUCAGACAUUUAUAAAUAGAAUUUUUUUUUUGGUUGGAAGGCAUUGAGAAUAAUUGAUUGAAUCUUCGAAGUGACAUUUUCAGGUGUGGGCUGUCCGUGGAAUAGUACGUAGCUACUCCUUUGCCCCUACUUUGCAAGGUUUUAAAUCAGAAACUUUCUGCAAUGCUUAGAAAUUGGACAUAUAUUGAUGUGUGCGCUUGUUCACUGUCUGGUUAAAACAUGCAUAUAUAUUCAAUUGUUUGUUUUCCACUUUCCCUGAAUUUGUUAGCAUAAAACUGUAUGAUCCACUCAAAUUGUAUAAUUCUAGGUAAGUUAAAGACUAUUUACUUUUCCUUUCUAUUUGUCUUUCUUCGGUUCCUUCUAGGAAACGAUCAUGUUAUUCUUUAGUGCUUAUACACUCUUCUUUUUCUCUCUAUCGUUCGUACUUGAGUCAUUAGUAUUUCUCGUUGAGUUACAGCUUAGUUUUGUUGGUUUGUUUCUUGUUUGCUCCUUUUAGCUAAAUAAAGUUCAUACAGAUCUUUCUUUGAUAAAAUUUACCUUUAUUUAUUAAGAAAAAAAUCUAUAAAUAAUAUUGAUAGGUAUCUUAUCCUUAUCUGCUUUAAGUUUUGGGACAAGAUUUAGUGCAUGUUUGGCUUAAUUUUUUUUCAACUUAUCUAUCUCUUAAAAGCAAAAGCCAGACCAAACAUGAUAUUUUGAAAAGCUCUUAAAAAAAAUAGCUUUUUUUUAAGAACAAAAUUUUUAAAAAAAGAGCUUAAAAAUAUAAGAGAAUUUUUAUUUUUGUUCCAAAAAUAUCCUUAUUUAUUAAAAAUAAUUACAAUAUUACCCUCUAAAAAAAAAGAAAUACCUUCUAUGAUAAUUUUAACAAAAAUUAUAACUUAUAAAAAAAAUUUACCAAACAACUUUAGCUUAAUUUUAAAAGCUAUUAUUUUUUAUAAAAGCUUCAUUAUAGCUUUUAAAUUAGAAAAAAAUCAGACCAAACAGGCUCUUAGAGAAAAUUCUUUAAAUCAAGUUCAUGAAGUUUCUUUUAAAAAUGAUUAAAUAAAAAAUUAAAAGCAAAAAUUCAAACUGAUUGAUUGAAAAAGCUUUGUUGCAUAGAACAAGUGUGCAAAAUUUGAAAAAAAUGGUAUUUUAUUUAUGUAGGUAUUUUUAUUAUAUAUUAUAACAGAGUUUUCACCCUUCAAUAAAUGGUGGUCAAAUUUUUUAUGUAGACAGUAUUUUUAUUCAACUUUUUAUAUAUUAUUGAUUUUCUCAUAAAUUUUGUCAAUUUAUUGGUUUUGAUUUUUGGUCAAAAUUAAUUUUUAUUUGAUUUUUUGAAAGAGAUGACUGCAACAGCAUUGGGAUUUAAUUACACUUUUUUAGUUAACAUAUCUUUUUGUGUAAUGAAAUCUUAAAAAGGGCACUUUUUAAAACUUUUAAUUUCACUUGUUUUACAUUUAAUAGCAAUAUAAAAACAUAUGUCUUUACUAGUGUAUACAAUCUCUACAGUUACAUUUUAUUUAUAAUGUUACUACAAAUUUAUAUAAUGCAGUCAAAUCUACAAAAGUAUUGUAAAAGUAUUAAAAAAUAUUAAAAAUAUUUUUAAUAACACAUUUUGAAAAUAUAUUCUCUUUAAGUCAAACUUGUUGUAGCGAAGAACCUAACAAAUUUGACCUAAAAAACUUUAUCUAAGUUUUGUCCAUGUUUUAGAGGUAUCACGUGGAAACUUCCUCACAAAUUACUUUAUUUUUGUUUAUUUCUUUCCCUGUUAACAUUACUUUAUAUUUCAUACAAUUUGAUUUCAACUGCAAAGAAAUAUUGAACAAUUUACUUAUGUCCUAAUAGAAGACUUGACUUGAGGAUCUAUUUCUCACUAUAUAUGUUUCUUUUUUGAUCAUUUAAGAGACAAGAAAAAGAGACAUUUUCCAUGCUUGUUUGUUAUUUUCGAUCAUUAUCAUCAAAAUUAAAAUAGGCCAAAUGAAUUGAAAGAGGUUAAUUUUGCAAAUCAUCUUGGCCUACUGGCUGUUAUAUAUGAGGAGAGAUAUAAAGUUACAUUUGGGUAAAAUCAAUUAUUUUUACACUUUUCUAUAAUUUUUUUAUAUAAUUAUUAUUUUCAUAUUGUUAAAUUUAACAAUUUACUUGUACUUGUCAUACACAUAAAGGUUCAAAUUAAUCUGAUAUUCAAUUUCAAAUUUUAUUAUUAACAAAUAAAGAUUAAAAUUUAACAAUUUACUCAUUCUUGUCAUACAUAAAAAAUUAAAAUAAGACUUAAAAAUUAAAAUAUAUUCAACAUGAACUUUUUUUUGGCUUGUUAAAGGAUCUGAAUAUAUAUAUUUUUUGAAAUAAUAGUAUAUGGGCUAUAAUUUUUUUAAUCUAUAUAGAAAUUAUUAAGCAUAUCUGUUUUUGAAUAUAGUAUGACAUAAAAAAUUCUAUGUAAACAACUUAUUAAACUUAUGAGCAUAAAUAUUUUAUGAAAUAAAAAAUAUCUAUGUAAAUAAAAGAGACAAAUUGCUUUGGCUUUUUCACCAUAAUGCACCGGAAGUGGUGCUCAUAGAGAUGAACCAAAGAAUUAAAAAAAAAAAGGGAAAUAAUUUUUUAAUUUUAAAUUAAAAGAAUUAGAGUUAUGUGCACUUUUCUGAACCAAUUUCAAGAUAAACCAAAACCUUUAUAUAUAAAAAAAAGCUAAAAUAGUUAGAAUUCGUUGGCCAUAUACUAAAUGGGUGUAGCUGAGGGUGGAAUGGAAAGGACCAAAAUUGCAUAAUGAGAACUGGAUCGAGUAAAGAAAGAAAAAUAAAAAGGAAACCAAAGUUGAAAAAAUAGUAAAACUUUUUUAUUGCAAAAAGAAUUUUGAUUUCAGAUUUGAAUUUUAAAUUCCAAAAAUUAGAAAAAAAAAAGGUUUAUGCAAAUGGAAUUCAAAUGAAAUGCAAAUGAAGUGAGAGAGAAAAGAGUUUGAGAUUUCUAAGGAAGAGAAGACAAAGGAAGGUAUUAAUAAUUAUGGGAAAAUGAAGGUGAAUUGAUGGAAGUAUGCAUUUACCCAAUUAUUACAUGGAGAAGACUUGAGCUCUAAAGUCAUCGCCUGUGAAUGUAGUUAGACAACAAUCGCAUUUAUAAGACAAUUAAUAGGACAGGCUAGCUAGAUGGGAUGUCAUGAUCAUACGUUAAAUGUUGUGUCUGAAACAUACAUGAAUCUAUGUCAUUGUCAUUGACUUAUUAUUCAUAGACUCAUGUACCGGAUCAAAUGGGUUACCCCCUUCUUGGUACGUAUAACUUACUCAAUUAACCUCGUUUUCCCGACUAGACUUGGAACCAAGCAACUAACAACUGCCCUCACCGUAACAUUCUAUGUGAGAAUUGUGAUGUGAUCCUCUUUCAAGACCUUAAUAUAUUUAUUGACUCUUUGUUGUUGUCAAUUUUUUUCUGGGAAGAAAAGAGAGUUAAAUGCUCAUUUGCUCGUCAUUUCAUUUACGCAAUUGUUUUCUGUCUUUUCUGAAGACUUGACUUUGUCUAAUGAGGAGUAAGAAGAAGCGAAAAUUAUUAAAAAAUAAUAAUUAAUUAUGAUUAAUUUUUAUGACUUUUUUCUAUUUAUAAUUUAAACAUCCAAUUUGUUUUUCCUUCUUUCCAUAUUACCUAAUUAAUUUGUUUUUUUUAAGAGAAUAAGAGAAUGGAAGGAAUUAAAAAAAACAACAUCAAUAAUUAUAUUUGAGAAUUUACCUUGUUUCACGCUCAGAAAAUUUAACCUUCUUAUAAAUGCAAUGGAAGCCAAAAUAAACAUUCAUUCAAUUAAAAUUAAUUAUUUUGUGUACAAUUUAUUCUAUUUGCCACUUUAUUCUCCACUUUUUCUACCUAAUAAGAAUAAGGAAAGAUUAUUUCCUUCCAUUUUCGUUUUCUUUUAUCUACUUUUUUUCUUUUUCUUUUUUUUUUUUUUCUUUUCUUCCUCUGAACGUAUGUAAUAUAGCAAAAGUAUAAUAGAGUAUAUUUUUAUAGGUAGAAGGUGCAGUAGCAACGAGAAAUGGCAUAACAAUUCGUAGGGUAAUGAGAAUUAAUUAUUAUAUUUUGUGACUAGUUUAGGAGGAUGGGUGAUAAUUCUAUUUUAUAGAAUUAUUUUAUUCUAAUUUUGUUAUUAAAUAUUAGCUAAGUCGUCAAUUUGCAAUCAUAAUUUAUUUAUUUUUAGUUAUUUUUAUAAUUACUUUUAUUUUUAAGUGAGUUAUUUUAAUUUUAUGUUAUUUUUUUAAUUUGAUUGUUAUUUAUUAGUUUUUAUUAUUUUUGUAAGAAUAAAAGAAUUGAGCUUAAUUUUGAAAAGUGAGAUGUUGAAAGACUUGAAAGUUUGUUUGCAUACGCUUCAGUGUCUUGGCCAUAACUCGAGUUACAAACUCCAAAUGAUACGAUUCUUAGACCAGUAGAAAACUAAAAGAUAGAGCUACAACUUUGAUGAAGAUCACUUUACUGGUUCUACCUUGAAAAUAGAGAAAAUCGCGUCGGAAAAUGGGAGGACGUACUGUGCCGGGAAUGAAAAUUUGUAAAGAUUGACAAUUGAUUUUUGGGCAUCUCAUUAUACUUUUAAGCCCAAUUGAACCCUAGAUCAACUUAAGAAACUUUAGGUUAAGUUUAUUAGUAUAAAUAGGAUAUGUUUAGUAACAUUAACAAGACAACUUUUGGGAGAUUCAAGAAGCUAGGAGUUGAGAUUGAAACUUGGAUAUCAAAGUAGUAAAUAUUGUUUUGUUUUCUUCCUUGGUUUUUAUUUUUCUUGUUACUCUCAAUAGUUGAAUUUUAUACAAUGUUAUUUGUCUUUGCGAUUAUGAGUAGCUACUUUUCUUUUUCUAAUAUUACAAUUGAACUUACAUGUAAUCUAAAUUUUUAAUCUCUUUCUUGUUUAUUUUUAAUAGGAUUUGAAUUGUUUAUUCCAAUUUGUUCUUAAUACUUUUAAUUGCCUGAUCACCAAUUAAAUUGAUUAGGAACCUAAACAAACUUGGGAAAUGGAGUUUAGUGUAGACUAAAAUUAAAAUAGCAUAUGAUCAUAUUAAUUGAUUUGUGUAUAGGAUAUGGAUAUACCUAUAGCCUAUAUGUAGCCAGAUUAGAGCAUGAACUGAAUGAGUCUGUCUUAAUUUAAAUUCACAUAGGAAUAUAAUGUUUUGGUUAAAAUAGAUAUUUUUAUAAGAUGAGUCGGGAGAUCCUUAUAAAUAAUUUAGAACUCUAAGUUAGUAAUUCAACUCACUGAAAUAAGUUAAGGACGACAGGUAAGAUUUAGAUGAAAUGUGAGAGAUAUUACAAUCCUAGGGUUGUUUGAUUUUAUAUUUUCUCAAGUUAUUAUUUUUUUGAUUUUUCUUGUUAAUUUAAAUUUUAGUUAAUUAGUUUUAGUUAAUCAAUUAAUUUUGGAUGUUUGGAUAAGAUUAAUUUGUUCUAAUUUAAUACUUAGUAAAGUUUUAGAUUAAUUCUCUGUGGGAUCGAUACUCUGCUUGCUUAUAUACUAUCUACUCGAUAUGUAUACUUAUGUAGUAGAAUUUUAACUGACAAUGGGGUGGAGAAAGAAAGGAAGAGCUGACGAGGGAAGAGACACUACACAGAGACAAGCCUAGAAGAACUAAUAUAGUACAAAACUAAUUGUGGUGUCCUAUUUCAAGACUUGACUUGAGCAUGGGUUCGGGCUGCCUUCGUUUGAAAUAUUUGUUCACUAGUUUUCAGUAGCUAUCCUCGGACCCCUUGGGGAUAGCUCAUGUCCAUUAGACAAGAAAAAAGGGACCAUUGCAUGUUUAAUACUUCCAUAAUUGUCGCUAACAAAUAAGUAAAAUGAAUUAAUAGUGUGACCAUACAUUUGUUUUCUUUUAAACUUGAAGAUAAUGUCUACAAUCGUGAUAAAUAUGGACAUUAAACCCUCCAAAAAUUCACCUCAGACUUGAUGUAUUAUAAGUUUUUUAAAGUCCACAAUCAUGACAUAAAUGUCAUCAUUUAAGAGUUUUUUGUUUUUUUUUUGGAGCACUGUCAAUUUUAAGUUGAUUGACGAUUUCUAACUCUUAUUUUGAUUCAAUAAAAUUUUAAUUGUAAAAUAUUUAUUGAAAGAAAUAACGUUAUUUAUCUAUGUAAUACAAAUAUCUAGUAUAUAUAUAAAUAUAUACAAUAUGUAUGCAUAUAUUCUAUCUAUUUAUAUUAAAAAGUAUAUUUUUCAAAAUGUAAAUAGUGAAUGACACAUAUAUACUAAUAAUUUAUUAAGUCAUCCUUAAUUAAUGAUUUUUUUAUUAAAUUAAAGAAUCAACUAAUUUUUAUUUUAUUUCCUUAUUAACAAUUGAACUUCUUAUUAAAGUAAAUUUUUCUUAAUUGAUAUUUAUUAUUAAAUUAAAAUAUUAACUAAUUUUUAUCUAUUUAUUUCUUUAUUAACAUUGAAGUCUUUAUUGAAGUAAAUUGUUCCUAAUAAAAUUUAAAAUUUUGCUAUAUCAAGAAUUAGAAUUAAUGUUCAUGAUUCUAAUAGUCAUAAUUAUAAUCAUCAUGAUUUAUUUUCAAUCACUUAUACAAGAAUUCAUAAUUUAUUUUCAAUCACUUAUACAAGAAUUCUUUGAACGGUAGCUAUAAAUCAGUUUAUAAGGACCGCUGCAGCUGUAGUUAAAGUCAAGAUAAGAAUAAGUUUCAGGCAUUUUAACUAAGAUAUAUCAAGUAUAAAUUCAGGUGUAGAGAUGAAAAUAUUACUAGUUUCUUUUAUUAGUUUCUUUUACUAGUUUCUUUUUAUGAUAUAUCAGAUAUAUCAUACUAUACCAGCUUCGUAGAUAAACUAUAAUCAUUUUUCCUAUUUAUUAGUUUCUUUUAUGUAGAUUAAUGUUUAUAUACACAGUUGAAAGAUCCAUGUGGAUUCUACACGAUUAAAUGAGACACUAGGAAUAAAUUAUCAGUCUUCAAUGGAACCCUGUAGACAAACUAAUUGCAUUCGAUCUUAAGAGUAUAAAUGGUGGGAAAAUUACUCUUCGUUUUUCUUUAUUUGAGACUGCCUUUGGAAGCUUAAAAGUGGAAGGCUCAUCAACACCCCUCCUUGAAUAUUCCCUCCAUCUUCGCGCUGCUGCUGCGGCCCUCCUUGCUCUCUCUUUCACUUCCUCCUCUGCAACAACAAAUCAACUUGAGUUAAAACUUUCAGCCUGAGCAGAGUUCAUCAGACAAUCAGUUUAUAAUGCACAGCCAAAAAGGCUGAAUCAUAGGUACGCAUGUGACCAUGCAUUGGUUACAAAAGGCAAAAAAUAAGAAGCAUUCAAAACAGCUAGCUUCCAUUUUUUGACAGUGGCAAAAACUGAAAUGAUAAAGCCACUUCAACCUUCCACUAGUGAAAGCUCCGCCACUAAUGUUUUUUAUAACAGAGCUCUAAUGAGGUAUACCUGAUAACAACUCUACAUCAAAAACUGCUGAUAACUCAACUAGAAUGUUGACCAUAGUAUGUUCAUUCGUAAUAAAUGUAGAAUAAGUAUUCACCAACCCAUAAAAAAUACCAUUGGUCACAAGACAAAUAUUGGAGAUUUCUAUGCAAUGCAGGGUGAUGAAAAUAGUUUAUUUCAGAUGUCAUCUGUUAUAUAUUCCUCAAUUUCUUAUGCUGAUUAUACCACCAGAAAUAGUCAUAUUCAAUAAGCCAAAACUCCUGCGCGUCUCAAAAUCAUUAAAUCCAAAGGAAACUUAGAUGACGAAUAUAAAGGCUCCAUAAAGCAUUUGCGAUCUUAUUAACUUGCAUAUGGAGAGGAAUUGCUAGCAUCAAUAAAGCAAUGCCAUUCCACAGUGCGCCCGAAUAGUAUAAAUCAGUACGCAUAAUCUCAAGGAGACACUAUCUAACACCCGUAUGUUCUUGGAAUGGAUCCAAAAUUGUUUAUGCAAAAAGUAGCUCAAAUAGAAAAAUCCUGUGAGAGUGUUAUUGACUUACUAAUCUAGGUGCAUAAUGCUGAUUGGCCGGGGAAAACACCAAAAAAGAACUGCUGCCUUACGUACUUGGUAAAAUUUAGCUUAAUAAACCCUUAAUUUCAAGUGUCUUAUCACUAUGUUCCAAGGGGAUGGCCGUUCGUAUUUUUUUUGUCUAAAGUAACAACAUGAUUCAGAAUGGGUACAUCUGCAAACUAAUAUNUCCAAUUUCUUGGGAAAUGGAACCAGAGAGUUUGUUGCUGUAAAAGUUAAGAACAGAUAAGUUUGUCAAAUUUCCCAUUGAAGCUGGGAUUAGACUUGUGAAAUUGUUGUUGGACAAUUCAAGGUCAGAAAGAGAUCUUAACAAACCAAUUUCUUGAGGAAUGGAACUAGAGAGUUUGUUGUAAUAAAGGUUAAGAACGGAUAAGUUUGUCAAAUUUCCUAUUGAAACUGGGAUUGGACCUGUGAAAUUGUUGUCAAACAAUUCAAGAUCAGAAAGAGAUCUUAACAACCCAAUUUCUUGGGGAAUGGAACCAGAGAGUUUGUUGCUGUAAAAGUUAAGAACAGAUAAGUUUGUCAAAUUUCCUAUUGAAGCAGGGAUUGGACCUGUGAAAUUGCUGUCAGACAAUGUAAGGCUAGAAAGAGAUCUUAACAACCCAAUUUCUUGAGGAAUGGAACCAGAGAGUUUGUUGCUGUAAAAGUUAAGAACAGAUAAGUUUGUCAAAUUUCCUAUUGAAACUGGGAUUGGACCUGUGAAAUUGUUGUCAGACAAUGCAAGGUUAGAAAGAGAUCUUAACAAUCCAAUUUCUUGGGGAAUGAAACCAGAGAGUUUGUUGCUGUAAAGGUAAAGAAAAGAUAAGUUUGUCAAAUUUCCUAUUGAAGCAGGGAUUGGACCUGUGAAAUUGUUGUCAGACAAUGUAAGGCUAGAAAGAGAUCUUAACAACCCAAUUUCUUGGGGAAUGGAACCAGAGAGUUUGUUGCUGUAAAGGUAAAGAAAAGAUAAGUUUGUCAAAUUUCCUAUUGAAGCUGGGAUUGGACCUGUGAAAUUGUUGUCAGACAAUGCAAGGCUAGAAAGAGAUCUUAACAAUCCAAUUUCUUGGGAAAUGGAACCAGAGAGUUUGUUGCUGUAAAGGUAAAGAAUGGAUAAGUUUGUCAAAUUUCCUAUUGAAGCAGGGAUUGGACCUGUUAAAUUGUUGUCAGACAAUCCAAGAUCAGAAAGAGAUCUUAACAACCCAAUUUCUUGAGGAAUGAAAUUAGAGAGUUUGUUGUUAUUAAGGUAAAGAACGGAUAAGUGUAUCAUAUUUCCUAUUGAAGCCGGGAUUGGACCUGUGAAAUUAUUGUAAGACAAUUGAAGAUCAGAAAGUGAUCUUAACAAUCCAAUUUCUUGAGGAAUGGAACUAGAGAGUUUGUUGUUGUAAAGGUAAAGAAAGGAUAAGUUUGUCAAAUUUCCUAUUGAAGCAGGGAUUGGACCUGUGAAAUUGUUGUUAGACAAUGCAAGGCUAGAAAGAGAUCUUAAUAACCCAAUUUCUUGGGGAAUGGAACCAGAGAGUUUGUUGUUGUAAAGGUAAAGAACAGAUAAGUUUAUUAAAUUUCCUAUCGAAGGAAUACUUCCAUAGAGUGAGUUAAUGCUAAGAUCAACAUGAGUAAGGUUGGGAAAAAGGGAGAAGUUCAAACCUUCUAGCUUCCCUUUCAAAUCUGAAGAGGAAAGGUUU
rnacentral:lncRNA from 1 species